ACCCUGUCACAAAAACUGUAACAAAAGUCACAAGAAAAAAAAGGGGGCUCCGGAUAUAGCUCAGUAAUAGGCUGCUCACCUUACAUAUCCAAGGCUAGCCCUUAGUGAGAGAGAGCUGUGAAUAUAGCUCAGUGGCAGUAUGUGCCUACCAUGUGUAAAGCUGGGUUCAGUGUCCAGUGCCAACUGUGCCUGUGUGUGUGCAUGUGUGUGUGUGUGUGUGUGUUAUUAUGCAUAUAAAUAUUCAUACAUACAAACACACACACUAUAUGGGUUACUUUUCUGUUGCUGUGAUAAACACCAUGAGUAAGGUAGCCUGUAGAAGGAAGUUUAUUUGGGCUCAUGGUUCCAAAGAGAAAAGCCCAUGACACUGAUGGCUCACAUCUUGAAUGGCAAGCACAAAGCAGUCCUUACUUGAGAUGGCACAUGGCUUUAAACUCUCCAAAGUCUGUCCCCAAUGAUGUACUUCUUUCAACAAAGCCAUACUUCCUAAGCCUCCCCAGGCAAUGCCACCAACUAGAGACCAUGUAUUCAAGAGCCCAAGACUGUGUGGAACAUCUCAAUUCAAACCCACAGCCCUACUCACUUGCACAAAGAACCCUUCGAGGUCGAGUGUGGAAGCCCUUAGCUUCCACAAGUGGAAGGCCUGUGGAAGUGAUCUGGAAUAAUUGUCCCAGCAGCCUGAGCUUGCCUGGGAAGUAGUUUGGGAGAGGUUGGGGUGUGGGGGAAGCCAUUUGAAUGGUAGAAGUUUGCCCAAG
rnacentral:lncRNA from 1 species